rnacentral:rRNA from 1 species
UACGUAGGGUCCAAGCGUUAUCCGGAAUCACUGGGCGUAAAGCGUGCGUAGGUGGCGCGUUAAGUGAGAUGUUAAAUCGUGUGGCUCAACCAUAUCGAUGCAUCUCAUACUGGCGUGCUAGAGGACAGCAGAGGCAAGUGGAAUUGGUAGUGUAGCAGUGAAAUGCGUAGAUAUUACCAGGAACACCAAUGGCGAAGGCAGCUUGCUGGGCUACUCCUGACACUGAGGUACGAAAGCGUGGGGAGCGAACAGG